CUCGCGCAGCCAGCCCCUCCCCCUUUUUGACAUCCGUUGGCGGGAGACGGUCUGGUAAGGUUCCUUUGAUGUCUUGGUUCUGCCGACCCCUGCAUUCCAUGGGGCAUAAAGACUUAACGAUGAUCUGUUAAUUGAGAUAAGCGACCAACCGGUGCUGCUGGACUUUGUUCUGGCUUUAGGCGAGUUCGUUUGCUCUCACGAGUUGCGUGGCAAGAGAAGCGCGCAGGUUGUACGUCUUCUUGCGCGACAACCUUGGCAGGUGAGUUGUUCUUCGCGAAAUUGCUUAUAGGCUCGUCUGGACGUCAGCUACAGCGUUAAAGCUAGCAACACGACGAGCAGUCUGUCCUACACUUCACUGGCUUCCGUACUGUCACGUACGGAAGUUGCGUGAUCAUGCACUUCCUAGUAUGUCACUGGUGACGGUGAUAUCCUACGUACUGUACGUCAGUAGCCAAAGUGAACAGGGUUUGACGUACUUUUGCGAGAGAGAAGAGUAUGG